AGGGCAAGGCCGGGAGCAUAGCCUGCCUUCCUCAGCAUCGGCCCAGAUACAAAGAAGAGGAGAGAGGAGAAGGAAUGAGUGUUGAGGCAGGAAGAGUUCCGUGUACUGCUCCAGCAGGGACAAGUUCAAGUCCCUCUGGUCUGGAAGAUGGCCACUUUUCUCUUCCCAUGAUAGAAUCCUACUCAUUCUUCGGGUUCUGCCCCUAGCAUCUUUUUUAAUUUUUAAUUUUUAAAUGAUACCCAUUGUGGAGAGUGGACCUUCCCUUUGUCAUAUUCUUUGUGGUGUUUAUGUGUCUGGUGUUCCUACAGCCCCAAAUUCCUCAAAGGAAGUGAUUAUAUUCUUUUCAUCUAAUGUCAGCAUGAUGCCUACCUACCCCAUAGUAAGUGUUCUACAGUGCUUGUAGAAUAGAUGUGGCAGAAACAAAUGCAAGGUGGGAAAAGAAAAUGAGUGUGUUUGCCUGGGCAUCUUCGAGAGUGAAGGCCCUCUAAAUACGCACAGUAGCUGGAUAUUCACCUGAGCCCCGCCUACUUAAGGAGGAUCUAUCGUUGCCCCGCCCACUUAGGGAGGACCUACUGUCGCCCCGCCUACUUAAGGAGGAUCUCUUGUCAGCCAAGUACUAGAGGCAGUACAAGAGAAGGCUCAGGGAGAUAUCUUUGCAUGCAAAGAUAACUAACAAUACAGAAUAGCUUCUGAUAAUUGCCUCAUUACAGCCACAGGAGUGCGAGGUCAGGGAGGAGGACACUGGAACACGCGUGGAAUGGUAAUUAAAAGCCACAGGUAUUCCGAGUCUUAAUCACCACUGCAGCCUCCGCCCAUUUCCAACUUCUCAGCGAUAUGGGAAAAUGAUCAGAUCUGAGUGCCAUCUCCUCUGGCUGCCCUGCCUGUUUGUCAGUGCGCCUGGGAGAUGAGGCAGAGAAGAAGGAUCCUUGCUAAUUCGUUGCAGAGACAGUCAGCUCUUGAAUAGCUCAAAGCUGAUCCCGUUUUAACCGGGCAUUAAAAGAUCAAAUGAUGAUUUCACAAGUGGACUGCAUUUGAGAUUUUUGUUAAGAGGAAAAGAGGUGACUAAAGCCACAAGGGCGGGCACUAAAUGGAUCCUUCUGUAGGUCUUUUUGCUGUAUGGAAGAUCUGAUUUUGCAGUGGGACUAUCCUGAGUCUCCUAAGAGGUCUUUAACAGUUAGGGGAGCAUGGGCCCCUCUCUAACAGGCUGGUAAAAUCCCCAGGGCUCCGUGUCCCAUCUGUCUAGGUGAACAACAAACACUAGAUUCAAUGAGAAACUCAAGUGUCAACAAGAAAGGUAAAGGGCAAAAGAGAAAGGCAUCCAAAGAUGAGCUCUGGUGUCCACGUACGCAUGCGUAGGAAAGCACAGCACAGUCGUGUGCAUGCACACACACACACACACACACACACACACACACACACAAAGCACACACAUCAUGGCAUGGGGACAUCUGUGCUUCUAUAGCAACAGUAAGUAACAAGAGAUCUAGCAGCCCAGAUAAUUCUUAGUGCCGAUCCAAGGUAGCAAGCAUGUAGUACCCCUUGAAAUCUGCCACAGCUCACAUGACCUGAGAAGAAGAUUCGUUCUGGUAACAAAGUCACGGUGCUACUGUGCCUUGCACCUGUGCCAAUUUCUCGCCUACAUUUGUAAUUGGAGGACAUGCUAAAUUUCAGUUGGUGGUUACUGUAUUAGUCAAGGUUCUCUAGAGGAUUAGGACCUAUGAGAUGGACAGACAGACAGACACACACACACACAAAGUUAUUAAGUCAGCUUUGAAAUUCAACAACAGAAGCCCACCUGAGAGCUGAGAUCUAGUAGUUCCUUGGUCCUGGAGGCUGUGUGUCUCAGCCAUUGGAGGAGUCCCCCUAAUGGCUGUCACUUGCUAGGGUUGGGACAGGGGCCCAACAACCAUAGAGCUGGGUCCUUCAGCACUUCCAAUCUGGCACCAAAUGACUGCAAGCACCUGGGGAGCUGCCGGUUCUUAGUCCACGAUGAGAGUUUGGAAACGCUGAUUCUGCAGCCAGGGAAGGGGCAACAGUAGCAGCAACAGAAGCAGCAACAGGGCGGACGAUCUCAGAGGAAGAGGGAAGGCCAGGAAUCGAAAGCACAGCUGCCCUCCUGCCAUGCUCUUCUUAUGUGGGAUGCUACCAGAAGGUGUGGCCCAAGAUCGUGUGGGUCUCCCUACAUCUCUCAUGUUAAUCGGGACACUUCUAUAGGCCUGAAAUCUCAGCCAAUUAGGAGACUAUGGUAGAUGAUCUGGAGAGCUUCAGACCUGCUUAGCCAACUUGGGUCAGGGGAGACGAUUUGAGAAGAACCCAUACUGCUCUUGAAGAG